rnacentral:rRNA from 1 species
AUUGAACGCUGGCGGAAUGCUUUACACAUGCAAGUCGAACGGCAGCACGGACUUCGGUCUGGUGGCGAGUGGCGAACGGGUGAGUAAUAUAUCGGAACGUGCCCAGUCGUGGGGGAUAACGUAGCGAAAGCUACGCUAAUACCGCAUACGAUCUACGGAUGAAAGCGGGGGAUCGCAAGGCCUCGCGCGAUUGGAGCGGCCGAUAUCAGAUUAGGUAGUUGGUGAGGUAAAGGCUCACCAGGCCGACGAUCUGUAGCUGGUCUGAGAGGACGACCAGCCACACUGGGACUGAGACACGGCCCAGACUCCUACGGGAGGCAGCAGUGGGGAAUUUUGGACAAUGGACGCAAGUCUGAUCCAGCCAUUCCGCGUGCAGGACGAAGGCCUUCGGGUUGUAAACUGCUUUUGUACAGAACGAAAAGGUCUCUAUUAAUACUAGGGGCUCAUGACGGUACUGUAAGAAUAAGCACCGGCUAACUACGUGCCAGCAGCCGCCGUAA